ensembl:lncRNA
GAAAGACUAUUUGACAGCGCUAGACUGUCUAAGGGCAGAAUAACAUCGAUCUCUCGAGCUCCAGAGGACGCUGAUUCUGGCAAGAACGAACAAAUCAAGAACAAGGUUAUUUCAAAAUACAUAAUAGCUUGGCGAAUAUAAACGAAAACAGUCACGUGAACAUAAACAGUUGAGAAAUAAAUCUGAAGUGUAUCAUGAUACUGGAUUUGAAUAUUAAAGUGACUGCAUUUACCAGCUGCUUUCUGUCUUUAAUUUUAAUCUAUAAAAACAGAAAAUCAUUCGUCUUGGCUGCUUUUUUUGUAUGUAUUCAUGUAUUUAUUAUUAUUAUUAUUAUUAUUAUUAUUAUUAUGCUCUAACAAGAAUUAAUCUAUAUUUAAUUAAAUUAAAUUUCUGCAUCUAAACACCUAUAAACCUAAAACAUGCUCUAUUAAACUAUUGUUAGCAAUUUCUUUAUCGUCC